UAUAUUAUACAUAAAACUGCAAAUUCCUCCUGUAUCUUUUUCUCUCUGUCCUCCCCAUGACCUCCCUCUCUGGUCUGAAUUUUUUUGUAAUAUCUACAAACUUACCUCGUAGCUUCCACUUGUUUAACAGUAAUAGAUCUCUCUCUCUCUCUCUCUCUCUCUCUCUCUCUCUCGCGCGCGCGCACGCUCACUCACACACACACACACACACACGUGUUUGCGUGUGUGUACGCCUUGUUAUGGGACCAUUUCCAAGUUGAUCUUGAACCGCCCCAUGCAGAGGUGGUUUUCUUUGUGUCACCAUCUGAUUGGUAUAACACUCCUGUAGCCAAGGACUGCACCACAAAGGAACCCAAUUAUUGUUGAUCGGUUUGUGUUUGCAUGUAUAUAAGAAGAUGAUUGACCAUUACUUACCUCUCUGAUAUCCCGUUUUAUCUGCGCCAUAGACUUUUAGAUAUGAAGCUUCUAACCCUGCCAAUCAACCUUGAUCUUAGGAUGUUAUUAUGGAGAUCGUUGGGAAUCAUGGUGGCUGACUUUAGCCGUAGGCGUAAAAAAUAGAAACUGGGUUUUUUUAUUCAGUUACUAGUAGUUUUACUAUUUUCUUGUCUAUAAUUCAACCUUCUUUUUUCUUAUUCAUACAAGAAUAAUUCUUAUUUAUUCUGAUUGAAAAAAAAUGGGAAUAGAUCUAAUUUUCUUCGUUAUAAUUCUUUGUGCUGGAAGUUCCCCUUGCAGUAUUCGUAUACUCUAUAAUUUUCUCCAUGUUGAAGUUCCCUUUGCAGAUCUGAACUGAUAUUCUUGUUUGUUUCAUUACGAGUCAUGCCAUAAAAAAGUUGUUAUCAAGAACUGAAUUUCCUGCAUUCUGGUUCAUGAUUUCUAUUUUGGGUUUCAGUUGGGCUGCAGCUUCCGGCCAGGUUUCCCUCAAUGCAAUGCUACUCCCAGCUGCUCUCUACUUUUGGCAAAUACCUCAUUUUAUGGCCCUAGCAUACUUGUGCCGUAAUGACUAUGCGCCGGAGGGUAUGAACUUUUGGGUCUUUCACGGUCUUACUUUAAUAUUUAUGUCAUCAGUUGAAAAGAUUCAACUAGUGCACCUGGAAAUUGUUUCAGAACAGGAGUUUUAUUUCCUGCCUUUGCUUUCAUGGGCCUUGUAUCUGUUCAUGGAAAGAAUUAAUCAAUAUCCAAUUAUGCCCUAUGAGUUCAAGGCAGAAAGAAUUAUAGUUGACAGAUUUUAUACUUUUGAGAAUGAAUGUUGUGAGCAGCCUGUUUUGUUAUCAAUUUAAUUCCCCUUUUAAAUGAUUAGCAUGAGAUUUUAGGAAUUUGCUGUCAAGCUGAUUGUAGGUGGGAUCUUUGUAUGUUGAUGGUGGUCCACAGAUUAUUGAUGCAGUUCACUUGGCUCCUUCGUGUCUAAUCCUUUUUCGUUUGUUGCAUUUUCAGAUUUAGGAUGUUCUCCCUUGCUGAUGCUUCUGGUCAGAGAACAGCCUCGGUAGCUUUAAGGAAUUGCAUAUACAUGAUCCCUUUGGGGUUCUUGGCCUAUGACUGUAAGUCCAGGACUCACAAACCAUCUUUCUUUUUCUAAUCGUGUUUCUAUUUGUAUUUUUGUAUUCCUGUUGGUGGUUGUCUUCUUGUAAUGCUCUUUGGGCCUUUUUCUUUUUCUUCUCGCUUUUCAACCAAUGUUCAACCAAUCUUAUUUCUUAGUGACAGAAGGUUUUCAGUCAUAUAAGUGCCAGCAUUGGUCUUCGUUAAAUUGAAAAUAAGUGAUUUAGACUUACAUUUACCAUUGGGAAAAAACACAAGAAAUGUCUCUCUUUUCUUUUUUUUCUUCCAUGAAAUAGAUUGGUAUCUGGCUAUCGUGUCUGAUAUGGCUGUUUUCAGAUUGCAAUAUGAGUCUUUAGCUAUUUGCAUUUUCCCAAGACUCUUGGUGGGUUUAACAAAGCUGACGAGUUAUAUUUGUUACUCAUGGUUUUGGGUGAUUUCAUGUCGCUGGUCCUCUCGUACAUUGACUUUAAUAUGUGGCUCCUUCUACCUGUUAUCAAUUGUAUGAUACUGUGGGGACAAUUCUUGAUCAUCGUUGUACGUGAUUGAUUAAUCGGACAUGUCAUCUUUGUUAUCACGCAACUCUUCUUGGUAGUGGAAUGACCAAAAUAUUCCAUGCUUGAGAUGCAACCUUUGGCCUUUGAUCACUAAGCAGGGAAUAAUUAAUGUUGGGGAUUACAUCUCAUUCCACCCGUUUCUUCUGUCUGCAGGGGGUAUGACGUCUGGAUGGUUUUGUCUUGAAUCUACUCUUCUUACUCUCGCGAUAGCUGCAACAUCAUUUUCGUUCUAUCGAGACCGUACUACACAUAAAGCAAGGAAGAUGUUUCAUGCCAGCCUUCUUUACCUUCCUGUAUUUAUGUCGGGGAUUAUGUUCCACCGCAUCGUUGAUAAUCAACAAAGCCUUUCUGAAGAGAAUUUAGAGAGUAGUGUUGAGGUUUCAUUGUCCUCACAAGACGGCAAUGUCAAACGGAAGAGUAGGUCGAGGAAUUCCACAGAUGGCUCCCAAGUUCGCCCACCUGUAUCGUACGCCUCUAUUGCACCGUUUCCUUUCCUCCCAGUUCCUUCGUAUGCCGAUCCAUGAUAUGUUUCUGGGUCCCUUGUUUUUUACAACGAAACGUCGAAAGCUGCCCAACAAAGUAUUUUUGUUCAAAGAGCAAUGUCUUUCCCCAAGCAAACGUCUCCCGGAAAGGUCGAAAACCUGUAUUCUUUUGCAAAUUGCAAGUUUCUUGUUGGGAAUGUAUUUUUGCUUUGUAGUGUUGGAGGUUUAGGUGUUUGAGUUGGUAAUGCAUUGUUGAUUUAAAGUAUACGAAUAAGGCGGCCAUCUGUUCAAUGAUUAUGGAAGAGCAGCUAUUGAUUUUUUGCAGAGAUAUAUUUACAAAGUGAUUUAUAAUAUGAACGCUACUAAUCAUGAUCGAGUUGCUAAGCCCCUGUUAUAUUGAGAUAGCUCCUAGACUCCGCGGUUGCUGGUUGAAUCACGGGUUUGUGCACUUCUUAGAUCAUUCGGUGGUCGUUUACUAAUUAGGUGAUUGCCCUACAGUUGUUUUUGCAAAGACAGGUCCAGUCGUCUUUGUGUUCUUAAACUUGAGUACAGGCGAUCGCUCUAUGGUCGUUUUUGCGUUCACCUUCCAUACCUAUUUAAGCGCGAGUCCCAUUUGCAUCACAUAUGGGAUUGGAGGACUUCCAAGAACUAACUUGCCAUAACUGUCUCUCGUUCAUGAUUGUAAGUAAGAUCAUGUUCAAAGAAGAUGUCAAAAAUGUCACAUAGACAUAUAAGAGUAAUAAUUGACGUAUCAUUUACUCCAACUGAGAUGCCAAAUAUGACAUGGAAAAAAAGGCUAAGCUGAUAUGGACAGAGAUGUCAAAUUUAAGUUGCCUUCAAAUUUGAUUUUUUUCUAUUUCCAAAGGUAUUCCACUUGUCUUACCUUAAAUGAAGCAAUAAAUUAUAUCAUUUUUAAACCAACAACAACCCAACUUUUAUUAUUUUUGUUUAAAAAAACAUAAAUGAAGCAAUAAAUUUUGGCAUAUCGGGUGGAAUGAAAAUAUUGACAAUAUGUCAAAUUGCCAAUUCAGCCAUCAAAUUGAAAUUUGAUGUUUUGAAUUUGAAAUGUGUGUACAUUUGGCCACGUGUUACCAUCACUGGCUCAAUUAUCAAUCCUAUUUACAUUUAAUUUGUAUGGAUGUAGGGGCCAAAUGUUUAUUUCAAGCCCUUCAUUUCCAAAUUCCAAAUCUUUAAUAUUAAAAGUUUGAAAAAUAUUCAGCUACGGCUUCCCUCACAACCACAUGACUUUCCUUGUGGAUCAAGUUAGAACCAUCACUGCCUGGAAUUUAUUUUGGGGAUGGACCAUCACUUUUGUCUUAUUUCCCUUGACUAACUUAUAGACUUUGUCAAACGUCUAUGUGGGGCUGGAUGUAGAAAAAUGAAGCUCCUUUCAUAAAAUUCCAAGGUUGAGCAAGAACUUCUCCAAUUAUAUGUUUCAUUGGGAAAAAAAACCAUCUUAAGACAAAAAAAAAAGAAAUAAGAUUGGCUAUAGAAUAUUAUGCAAGACUAAUGUUGAGCUGUCAAUUGUUAUGAAUCAAAUUACUUGAAAUGCACAUAACGUGUCUUUUAAGUUAUGAAUCGAAUCACAAACUAAUUGGCUCCUAGUUCAAUUUAGUUUGCAAUUCUCACAUGGAUAUGUUUACGAAAAUGUAUCAAACACUACGAAAAUGAAAGAAUAGUAAAUAAUGUUAAAUACUUAGAAAAUAUCCAACAACAAAGUAAUAACUUGAAAGAAAUGCAAAUUUGAUAGAUUUAUAUUUGUUGCUUUCUGGCAAUUUGGUUUGGGAUAUGGAAUGGUUUGAUUCGUGUCGUUGUGGUGAUAUACCUAAUAUCUUAAUGGAUCGUGUCGUAUAACACCCAUUAAAAUGAAGCGAUAAUAUGAUCCAACACAAACCCAACCCUUUAAUAUUAAUGGGGUAAUAUGCCCUAACUCAUUACCUGUUAAAGAAAAUAUAUUCUAGUUAACAAAUAAUAAAAUGAAAAAUGUAAUAAUAAAAACAUAAAUGAGAUGAAAGAAUCCAACUGUAAGGAUUUAAUCUCACUUAUAUGGCUAGUGUUGUAGUAAGGUUUUUUAAUUAAUGUAGAAUUGUGAAAUAUAUAUAUAUAUAUAUAUAUAUAUAAAGAGAUACAAAGCUCGUAAUAACAAGCUCUACAAAUUUUGUGAAGAUGUCAACUUUGAAAUUCAUCACCAUAAUCCCAUAAACCAUUGAUUUAAAUUUAAUCGUUGAUUGUCAUUAACGUUUAUGCUCUAUUCUUCUCAUGGUAUUUCGUUUUUUUUUCCCUUCAUAUUUUCAUUUUUGAAAACAUGAUCUUCUAGCGGAUGCAAAAAGAUAAAUGAUUCAGAUCGUUGAUAUCACUUUCAGAUUUUACAGUUGGUGAAAAUAUUGCUCAGAGUUUAUAAAGUCUCUAGAAACUAUACAAUAUCGACUCAUAUUUGAGUUAACCGUAAACGUUGGAACGUGAUAUCAAUGAUCCAAACCAUUCAUUUUUCUGCAUCCGCUAAAAGAUCAUGUUUUCAAAAAAGAAAAUCUGAAAAAUGAAAUUUGGUGAGAAGAAUAAAGCAUAAACAACAAUCAAAGGUUUAAUAUAAAUCUAGGUUUUUGGAUUGCGGUGUCGAAUUUCAAAGUUGACCCCUUCAAGAAAGUUGUAAAGUUUGUCACUACGAGUGAUUGUGUGUAUAUAUAUAUAUAUAUAUUUUUUUUUUUAAACAUUUUUCACUACAUUAAUUAUUAUGAAUUUUUAUUAAUUUGCACUCAAAUAAUAAACACUAUUAAUGAGGCCUUAGAACGUUUUAAAAAUCUAAACGACGAUGUAACUAUUUUCUAAGCUUAGAGAAUGCAACCUCGAGCGUUUAUACUUUUACAUUAAUAAUAUGUUUUUUUUUUAAUUUUGAACUCCCCCUUAAAACACUGUUCAUGAGGGAUUGUAGGGUUUUAAAAAUCCAAACGAUGAUGUACCCAUCGCCAAAUCGUGCGAUCACGAGCGUUUGCAUAUUUUUUCACACUUGUAAAUCAAUUAUUAUGUUUAAUGUGCUUUAGUAUUUUUAAAUUGCUUUGGUAUCUUUAAUGUGCUUUGAAACUUUUUAAUCUUACUUAUGUGAGAUUAAAUACUAUGGCUAUUGUAGUAAGAUUUUUUAGUAGUUUAAAACUAUUAACUACCUUUUUUUCUUAUCAGGUCGAAACAGGUCAUCCACAGGUAAAUAUUAUGAGAGAUUAACGGGUUCUUAAUGUGUGACCGAUAACGACCCGAUUAGUUAACUCGUUGAAGCAAAACCCAUUAUUUUCUUGUCGUUUCGAAUAAAAUUAACAGGAUGUGCAAAAAAUUGUCAUGUCUAUGCUCCAAUUUGGACCUCCCUUUUCUCUGAUACAUAAUUUAUCUUCUAGACUACUAUACAUCACACAAAAUGCGCAUUUCAAAGAACUUUAUCGGAGUUGUUUUAUUUCUCAGGUUACUAAGUGUCUCUCAUGACUUUUCUUUGGGGAUGAAGUUGAACUUUCACUGCCUGGAAUUAGUUUUGGGGAUGGACCAUCAUUUGUGUCUUUUAUCUCUUGACUGACUUAUAAAUUUUUCCACAACGACUUUGUCUACCGUCUUUGUGGCGCUGGAUGCAGAAGAAUGAACCUCCUUUCAUAAAUUUCAAAGGUUGAGCAAAUUCUCCUCCAAUUAUAUUUUGACGGGAAAAAUAAUCAUCUUAAGACAAAAAAAAAAAAAAGAGAAAAGAAAUAAGACAUGUAGAAUAUUAUUCCUCGUGAGGUAUAUAAUUAUAUAUGCAAGUGGUAAAUUGUCUUGAUGGAUAAGGUCUUUCUCUUUGACCAACGAAGAGAAAGCUUUGUUUACUCUGAUACAUAAUUUAUCUUCUAGAUGACUACUCAUUUAUCUCACAGUGUGUAUUUCAGAUGACCUUAUAGGAGUUAUAUUUCUCAGGUUACUAACCAUCUCUCGCAAACAAGGUAUGUUCUUCAAGGUAUGUGGUAUGAAUGGGGUUAUGAUCCAAGUUAAGUUCUUUAAUAUGCCUUAUUUUAUAAGGGACUUCAAAUAUUUUCUUUAUGUAUGACAAAUGAUAACCACAAGCUGAUUGGCUCUUAGUUCAACUCAAUUUGGAAAUGAUGUUAAAUACUUAGAAAAUAUCCAACUACAAAGUAAUAACUUGAAAGAAUGAAAAUUUUAAGAGAUCAAGCAAGUUAAACCCAUUUUGGCAAACUUUCUUGCUAGUCGAGCAAGGAUGAGGAUGACGAUGUAACCAUUUUCUAAGCUUAGAGAAUGCAACCUCGAGCGUUUAUACUUUUACAUUAAUAAUAUGUUUUUUUUUUAAUUUUGAACUCCCCCUUAAAACACUAUUCAUGAGGGUUUGUAGGGUUUUAAAAAUCCAAACGAUGAUGCACCCAUCACCAAAUCGUGCGAUCACGAGUGUUUGCAUAUUUUUUCACACUUGUAAAUCAAUUAUUAUGAAAUUUUAAUGUGCUUUAGUAUUUUCUAAGCUUAGAGAAUGCAACCUCGAGCGUUAUACUUUUACAUUAAUAAUAUGUUUUUUUUUUUUAAAUUUUGAACUCCCCCUUAAAACACUGUUCAUGAGGGUUUGUAGGGUUUUAAAAAUCCAAACGAUGAUGUACCCAUCGCCAAAUCGUGCGAUCACGAGCGUUUGCAUAUUUUUUCACACUUGUAAAUCAAUUAUUAUGUUUAAUGUGCUUUAGUAUUUUUAAAUUGCUUUGGUAUCUUUAAUGUGCUUUGAAACUUUUUAAUCUUACUUAUGUGAGAUUAAAUACUAUGGCUAUUGUAGUAAGAUUUUUUAGUAGUUUAAAACUAUUAACUACCUUUUUUUCUUAUCAGGUCGAAACCGGUCAUCCAUAGGUAAAUAUUAUGAGAGAUUAACGGGUUCUUAAUGUGUGACCGAUAACGACCCGAUUAGUUAACUCGUUGAAGCAAAACCCAUUAUUUUUCUUGUCGUUUCGAAUAAAAUUAACAGGAUGUGCAAAAAAUUGUCAUGUCUAUGCUCCAAUUUGGACCUCCCUUUUCUCUGAUACAUAAUUUAUCUUCUAGACUACUAUACAUCACACAAAAUGCGCAUUUCAAAGAACUUUAUCGGAGUUGUUUUAUUUCUCAGGUUACUAAGUGUCUCUCAUGACUUUUCUUUGGGGAUGAAGUUGAACUUUCACUGCCUGGAAUUAGUUUUGGGGAUGGACCAUCAUUUGUGUCUUUUAUCUCUUGACUGACUUAUAAAUUUUUCCACAACGACUUUGUCUACCGUCUUUGUGGCGCUGGAUGUAGAAGAAUGAACCUCCUUUCAUAAAUUUCAAAGGUUGAGCAAAUUCUCCUCCAAUUAUAUUUUGACGGGAAAAAUAAUCAUCUUAAGACAAAAAAAAAAAAAAGAAGAGAAAAGAAAUAAGACAUGUAGAAUAUUGUUCCUCGUGAGGUAUAUAAUUAUAUAUGCAAGUGUUAAAUUGUCUUGAUGGAUAAGGUCUUUCUCUUUGACCAACGAAGAGAAAGCUUUGUUUACUCUGAUACAUAAUUUAUCUUCUAGAUGACUACUCAUUUAUCUCACAAUGUGUAUUUCAGAUGACCUUAUAGGAGUUAUAUUUCUCAGGUUACUAACCAUCUCUCGCAAACAAGGUAUGUUCUUCAAGGUAUGUGGUAUGAAUGGGGUUAUGAUCCAAGUUAAGUUCUUUAAUAUGCCUUAUUUUAUAAGGGACUUCAAAUAUUUUCUUUAUGUAUGACAAAUGACAAAUGAAACACAAGCUGCUGAUUGGCGCUUAGUUCAACUCAGUUUGGAAAAUGAUGUUAAAAAAUACUUAGAAAAUAUCCAACUACAAAGUAAUAACUUGAAAGAAUGAAAAUUUUAAGAGAUCAAGCAAGUUAAACCCAUUUUGGCAAACUUUCUUGCUAGUCGAGCAAGGAUGAGGAUGACGAUGUAACCAUUUUCUAAGCUUAGAGAAUGCAACCUCGAGCGCUUAUACUUUUACAUUAAUAAUAUGUUUUUUUUUUAAUUUUGAACUCCCCCUUAAAACACUAUUCAUGAGGGUUUGUAGGGUUUUAAAAAUCCAAACGAUGAUGCACCCAUCACCAAAUCGUGCGAUCACAAGUGUUUGCAUAUUUUUUCACACUUGUAAAUCAAUUAUUAUGAAAUUUUAAUGUGCUUUGGUAUUUUUAAAUUGCUUUCGUAUGUUUAAUGUGCUUUGAAAUUUUUUAAUCUUACUUAUGUGAGAUUAAAUAUUAUGGCUAUUGUAGUAAGGUUUUUUUAGUGGUUUAAAAUUAUUAACUAGCUUUUUUCUUAUCGGGUCGAAACUGGUCAUACACGGGUAAAUACUAUGAGAGAUUAAUGGAUUCUUAACGUAUGACCUAUAACGACCCAAUUAGUUAACUCGUUGACCCAAAACCCGUUAUUUUCUUAUCGUUUCGAAUAAAAUUAACAAGCCGUUUAAGAAAUUGUCAUGUCUAUGCUCCAAUUUGGACCUCCCUUUUCUCUAAUACAUAAUUUGUCUUCUAGACUACUAUACAUCACACAAAAUGCGCAUUUCAAAUAACUUUAUCGGAGUUGUUUUAUUUCGCAGGUUACUAAAUGUCUCUCAUGACUUUUCUUUGGGGAUGAAGUUGAACUAUCAUUGCCUGGAAUUAGUUUUGGGGAUGGACCAUCAUUUUUGCCUUUUAUCUCUUGACUGACUUAUAAAUUUUUCCACAACGACAUUGUCUACCGUCUUUGUGGCGCUAGAUGUGGAAGAAUGAAGCUUCUUUCAUAAAUUUCAAAGGCUGAGCAAAAUCUCCUCCAAUUAUAUUUUGACGGGAAAAAUAAUCAUCUUUAAGACAAAAAAGAAAAAGAAAUAAGACCUGUAGAAUAUUAUUCCUCGUGAGGUAUAUAAUUACAUAUGCAAGUGGUAAAUUGUCUUGAUGAAUAAAGUCUUUCUCUUUGACCAACGAAGAGUAAGCUCUGUUUACUCUGAUACAUAAUUUAUCUUCUAGAUGACUACUCAUUCAUCUCACAAUGUGUAUUUCAGAGGACCUUAUAUGAGUUGUAUUUUUCAGGUUACUAACCAUCUCUCGCAAACAAGGUAUGUUCUUCAAGGUAUGUGGCAUAGAUGGGGUUAUGAUCUAAGUUAAGUUCUUUUAUAUGCCUUAUUUUAUAAAGGACUUCAAAUAUUUUCUUUAUGUAUGACAAAUGAUAACCACAAGCUAAUUGGCUCUUAGUUCAACUCAGUUUGCAAUUCUCACAUGGAUAUGUUUAUAUAAAUGUACGAAAGACCAUACGAAAAUGAAAGAACAGAAAGGAAAUGAUGUUAAAUACUUAGAAAAUAUCCAACUACAAAGUAAUAACUCAAAAGAAAUGAAAAAUAUAAGAGAUCAGGCAAGUUAAACCCAUUUGGGCAAACUUUCUUGCUAGUCGGGCAAGUUCGUGCACAUUGUUGAAGUGAUUUGAAAUAUUGUAGAAUGCAGAGAUUCAAAAAUUUUAUGAGUUGUGAGUUGAGUGCCAUUUUCUUCUUUCUUUAUGUUGUUAUAUAUGGAACAAACAUUUCUUCCGGUUUAAACCUUACACUCUUAGUAUAAUUAUGUAUGCUCCUAGUUGUUGAUGUGAAUACUAACAGAAGGAAAAAUAAAAUUUACAUUGCAACUUGAGCCUUUAUCCCCUCAAAAUUACCAAAAUGUCAUCAGAAAGUAGUUUUUCCUCUGUAAAACCGCAUGGGUUAAAUGUACAGUGUGACAGGGUGUUUGUCGCCCACAAUGCCACAUGUAAAGUAGUUUCAAAUCCUUGAGCUCAAUUACUGUUCACUUAUGUUGAAAUUAAAUAUCUAUUGGACAAGGAUUGUCUGCCCUCCUCCUCGUACCCUUCUUUUUUGUGUGGUCACGGUUAAGCUACGUCAACAUUUUAUAUUGUUUUUUUAUAGAUAUAAUAAAACAAAAAUGAAUAGUAAUAUAAAAUGUUAACGUGGCUUAACCGUGACCACACAAACAGGAGGGCAAACAAUCCUUGUCCAUAUCUAUUAGUACUUGAAUGAAAUAAAGGCAUUAGGCCUAAUAUAGGCCCAAACUUAUUCUGGAUCCAAACAUCUUGUUCAUUUUUUACCCUCCCAUAGACGAGAAAUUAUAGUGUAGUACAGUAAUACCUCGUCAUCCGUGAUAUUUCCUUUCGAAUUUCGCCAUGUGUUAUGUUUUUACACAAGUGGAAUUUAAUCUCAUUUUUAAUCUUUAAAUAAAUUUAAAAAUGAAAAGAAAAAAAGAAAAAAAGAACAAAAUAGAUCGUGUUCUUGAAGUUUUUGCCUCCUCCGGCCCAAUCUGGUAAUCCCCUUCCACACACCGCCGCAUCUCUUUUCUUCACGAUUUGGGGAUUAAACUCGAAAAUGAUCGGCAUCCGAAAGCGGUGUGAAGGCGUUUGGAAAUACAUUCAGCGUGGCUGAUGGGUUUGCUUGGCUGAGUCGGACUCAUCCAUUCAGCGUGGUUCUGGUUGAAUUUGGAGAGUUGGUAAAGAAGAAAACAGGAUUUGAUUUGAAGGUUAGACAAUUAGAUUCAAUUUUAGUUUCUGUAUGGUUGCGAAGAAAGUAUAACAUUACAAGUUACUGGGAAGUGCAAGGCUAAUUCUUUUGUUUUGAAAUUUCCGUGACUGAUGAGGAAAUCAUCAGAAAAUUUUGGAACAGCAGCCAUGGCGGAAACUGGGUGGGGCUGUGCCGUGGAAGGAGGCGCAAAGGCAUCUAGGCUUUUGUUUCCUUUUAAAUUUUCAUUUUUUUAUUUAUCAAGAGUGAGAUUGAGAUUCAAUUCCUGCUGUAUAAAAGUGGUCGAACGUUUGCAAUUUGUACUUGUAUUUAUGUUUUGGGGAUGAAGUUGAACCAUCACUGUCUGCAAUUUGUUUUGGGGAUGGACCAUCCUUUUUGUCUUAUAUCUCUUGACUCACUACCGUCUUUGUAGGUCUGGAGAUGUAGAAAAGUAAUUUGCAGUAAAUAUCUUUACUAAUGUGUGUAUAAAUAACACUCUAAAUUACUCAUUCCUCACACCAAUCACCUACUUGAUAUCUACAUGGAUAGAGUCAUGAGACUUGUUCCAAUACUCAGCUUUCUUCUAUCCAUUGCGUCUUUUACACUCAGCUUAUGCAAUGGAAACCCGAAUGUGCCUUGCCGAGAAAAUGAGAGACAAACACUUCUUAUGUUCAAGAAAGAUCUCAAUGAUUCUUCAAAUCUGCUUUCCUCUUGGGUUGCUGAAGGCGAUUGUUGCACCUGGACCGGUGUUGCCUGCGACAAUUUAACCGGUCAUGUCCGUGAGCUCCACCUUGCUGGUUAUUAUGAUGACGUGGCUGGUGAGGACCGUAAGCUGGGUGGUAAGGUAAAUCCUUCUCUACUCAAUUUAAAGCAUCUCACCUACUUGGACUUGAGCUACAAUGAUUUUGGAGGACGACAGUUUCCUAGCUUUCUGGGUUCUCUUGAAGGUUUAAGAUAUCUUAACCUCUCGUUUGCAUGGUUCAACGGAACCAUUCCUCAUCAGUUGGGAAAUCUCUCGAGCCUGCGUUAUCUGGACCUUUCUGAUAACUAUGGUUCGAAGGUCGAGAAUCUCAAAUGGCUCUUUGGUCUUUCUCAGUUGAAACAUCUUGACAUGAGUUAUGUAGAUCUUACCAACGCAUCUCAUUGGUUACAAGUAAACACACUCCCUUCUCUGCUGGUCGAGUUACAUUUGUUUGAUUGUGAACUUUAUCACAUGCCAAGUGGUAUUGCGAACUUGACAAGUCUUAAAGUUCUUGAUCUGUCCUACAACUAUUUCAACUCUACCAUACCGCAAUGGUUACAAGUAAACACACUCCCUUCUCUCCUGGUCGAGUUGCACUUGUCGGAUUGCAAUCUUUAUCACAUACCAAGUGGUAUUGCGAACUUGACAAGUCUUAAAGUUCUUGAUCUAUCCAUAAACUAUUUCAACUCUACCAUACCUCAAUGGUUGUACAGUUUGAACCAUCUUGAGUCCCUUGAUCUUUCUGUCAAUGCUUUCCAUGGUGAGAUUUCGAGUUCCCUUGGAAACUUGACAGCCCUUGUUGAUCUUCAAUUACAUCAUAAUCAGCUUGAAGGGGAAAUCCCAAACUCAUUGGGAAAUCUUUGUAAGUUGACUUCUUUUGAUCUAUGGUCAAACAAUUUCCGGGGGAGGGUAUCAGAAAUCUUUGAAAUUUUGUCUAGCUGUAGUAAUUUUGGUCAAAUAGAUUAUUUACAUCUUUCGGAUAAUAAUUUUUCAGGUCAUUUAUCUGAUCAACUGGGAUUUUUAAAAAAUUUACGCAUCCUUGAUCUUUCAAAUAAUUCAAUAUCGGGCCCCAUUCCAGUGUCUUUAGGAAAUCUAUCACGUUUAGAGGAGUUGAUCAUUUCUGACAAUUCAUUCGAAGGCCCCAUUCCAGUAUCUUUAGGAAAUCUAUCAAGUUUAGAGGUGUUGAUCAUUUCUGACAAUUCAUUCGAGGGGGUUGUCUCUGAAGCUCAUUUUACUAAUCUUACAAGCUUGUUUACCUUUUAUGCAAAUGAGAACUCCUUGACUCUUAAAACUAGCCCAGACUGGGUUCCUCCUUUUCAACUUUCUACGUUGGGUUUAAGUUCUUGGCGUCUGGACCCAUCACAGUUGCCUGCAUGGCUUCAGAGUCAAAAACAUUUGUUCGCUCUUAAUAUGUCCAAUACAGGAAUUUCUGGUACCAUUCCGGCUUGGUUGUGGAACAUUUUUUCUGUUGAAAACAUGGGUCCAGGUAUCUUUGUGGAUCUCUCUCAUAAUCAAUUGUCCGGGGAGGUUCCAAAUAUAGCUUCUACCCACAGGCCAAAACAAAAGCAUUUGGAAUUUGUUUAUCUUGCCAUUGACUUAGGAUCUAACCAAUUCAACGGUUCAUUGCCUCUUGUGUCUUCGACAGUGAUUGCACUAGAUCUUUCCAAUUCAUUAUUUUCUGGAACUCUCUCUCACUUCUUUUGUGAUAGGAGUGAUGUACCUAAAAACCUUCAAACUCUUCUUCUUGACAACAAUCUCCUCACUGGAGAAAUUCCGGAUUGUCGGUUACACUGGCCAAACUUGACAGUAGUGAAUUUAGAAGACAACAAUUUGACGGGGAAAAUUCCAAGCUCUAUCGGGGACUUACUUUCCCUUCAAUCAUUGCACUUGCGCAAUAAUAACCUAUAUGGAGAAUUACCCGUGUCCCUACAAAACUGUCAAGAGUUGCUCCUUCUUGACCUUCUUGGAAAUAAGUUUGUUGGAAGCAUUCCGAUAUGGUUUGGCCAAAGCUUGGUGGUUCUUAUUCUUCGCUCAAAUAUGUUCCAAGGCACCAUUCCUCAUGAACUUUGUAGUCUCACAAAGCUCCAAAUCUUGGACCUUGCGCAUAACAAUCUCUCGGGAACGAUACCAAGAUGUUUCCAAAAUUUGUCAUCCAUGGCCACUAAAUUUUCAAGUGAAGAAGCUCCCAGUAUUGAAUUCUCCGUUUCUUCGGUUACUGGUAUGAAUACUUUUCAGCUCUCCUACUCCUACACAGAGAAUGCGGUUUUUGUGGCCAAAGGCAGAGAAGUGAAAUAUGACACAGUGCUUCGUUUGGUAACUAGCUUGGACCUUUCAAGGAACAUGUUAUUUGGAGAAAUCCCUGAAGAGUUGACCAACCUCACUAGCCUACAAACAUUGAAUUUAUCUGAUAAUCUUCUGGCCGGAAGAAUCCCUUCCAAAAUCGGUGAUAUGGGAGCGUUAGAGACGCUUGAUUUGUCUGUGAACCAACUUUCUGGCGAAAUUUCUCCAAGCAUCUCGAAUUUAACAUUUCUCAAUCAUCUAAAUUUGUCCUAUAACAAUCUGAUUGGGCAAAUUCCAAAAAGCACUCAGCUUCAGACCUUUGAUUUGUCCAGUUAUGUUGGCAAUAAACUUUGCGGACCUCCACUGGAAGAGCGUUGCAGUACAAAUGAGGCCAUGCCACCAGUAGGUGAUGAGAAGCAGAGAGAAGGUCAUUUUCUUGAAGACGGUGGUUUCUAUCUGAGUUUGGGGCUUGGUUUUGCAUUUGGGUUUUGGAUUGUUCUUGGUUCAUUGUUGUCUAAUGUGCCAUGGAGCAAUGCAAUUUCUCAGUUCCAAAAUCGCAUUGUGAAGAAGUUUUAUGCGGCAAUCGCUGAACGUUAUUAACUAUUUUGUGCAGAUAAAUCGAGUAUGUGUGAUUUGUUUCUACUCUUUUGCUAUCCAAUUAGAAUGUUACACUGUUGUAUGCUUCUUUGUACCAAUUUAUUUUAUCUUUUCCUUGGUUUUUUCUUUGGCCAUAUAAAAUUGUAAGAUUUGCUUUAUAAUUUCUGUGAUAAUUUUUAAAUUUAUUUUGUGAGUAUAUGAUAUGUUAAUCUUAUGUUGAUUCACACAGUUGUAUUCCUCUUUAGUAUGUUUGAUUUUCUAUUGGAAAGCAAGAUUUAAUUUCAACUAGAAAUUACGCCCGCGCGUUGCUGCGGGAACCAGCUGUUUCAGAUGUAAUCAGAUGGAUAAAACACAUUUAAAUUGAAUAAAUUCAAGACAAUUACGAACAAACAGAGGGAUACAUGAGUGGGUGAGGCCGGUAAGAUAAGCAGUUUUGCUUUUAACACAUUUAAGUGAGUUGGCAUAUAAACAUAUUAUAUGGGAAAGUGUCUAAUUAACAACUACUAAUCAAACUGCAAAAGCAACAUAUGAGUUUUUCUGGGUUCAAAGUUCAAACACAGAAUAGAACCAACAGAGUCAAAGGUCUUCAUAUGCAUUAUGAGAAAAAAAAACCUCAUUACGGUAUAAAAAAUCAUAACUUAAAGCUAAACCCAAAAAAGUAAGAGACAAACAAUUGAUGUUCCUUAUUAUGUCCAUCUAAGAGAUGGGCCAGUAAAAUUUGUGAAGAAACACCUGCUGGUUUGUCCAACAUGAGAAGAUAUAAAGUUCUCAUUGACGAUUCAUUACUUGAGUGGUUUAUUUAUUUAAGUGAUUUCUAUUUUGUUAAGAAAAUGAUACCGCCAUAAAAAAAAUGGAGUUUUAACGAAAAGUCCACGGUACUGUUCACUUUAACGAAAAACCACAUUUUUACACUAAAAAGUCAAACUUGAUACUAUUCAUUUUACCCUUUAUUUUGUCCUUAUCAUUAAAACUCCAAGUUUUCAAGCUCUUUUCAUUAGUUUUCCUUAAAAAAAAUAGAAAUACAUAACAGUUCAAUCAAAUCAUUUUUUUAUGUCCUAUACUAACUGGUUGAAGAUGCCCGAAUCAAAACAAAAUGGAUAUCUGCAAACUUGCUUGCUCUAAGGACAACGAUUUCCAACUUUAGUAGAAUCACAUCCAACUCUUAUCAAUUACUUCUGAAAUAGUAAAAAACCAUGAAAUUGUGCAGUCACUAAAGACCUAAAUACUGAAAUCACAAAAGAAAAACAACCCAAUUCAUAAAUUAAUGAUUGAAAGGAUAUAAUCCUACCUGAGGACCCUCAGAUCACUUGAAAGUGUAUCCCAAGUGUGAAGGCUGUCAGCGAAAUUGAACUCCUGCCAUUUUGAAUUUGAUAAAAGCAUUACUUGUGAAGUACGCGUUCGUGCAUGUCCUAUAGAUCUACCCGUUGUUGAUUGGAAAUUGAAAACUGAUAUUCGCAAGAAACAGCAGCUUAAUUACAGUAUUGAUUUCGAAGUCUGUAUAUUUUGUGGUUAAGAGGAGGGUGAUCCACUUAAAUGCAUAAAAUUGGGGAUUGACCUGUCAUUUAAAAUUUUAGCCCAGUCAGUCCUGUAUAAAGAAUUCUAGUGACCUAAAUAUGAUAUUCUCAAAUAACAUUGAAACCUUAACGUGUUAAAUAUUUAAGUAGCAUUUUACUAUUUAUAAGGCUGUCGACAGGUGACACAUAAUAAUUCUCGUCUUGGAAAAAUUAUUAAUUUUGAUCAAAUCUCUAAGGAGAUAGGUAAUAAGAAAGUGCUAGGAAGUCACUGGAUAAGCUUGAACCCCGGAACAAUCUAGCUAAAUAGUAUCCGGUGUCAUUCCAUGCCAUACCAAUGGCAUACUAAUGCAUGUAUCCUCUUCAAUUACAUUUACAUAAAUGUGUUGUGGCAUACUAUGUCAUGUUUUAUAUAAAUUUAAUCCUCCAAUUUAACACGGUCACCAAAAAAAUAUAUUGGAGAAUCAAAUUGAAAAAUCCAACAUAACCCAAAUUUACAUUAACAGACAAACAGAUGCUACAGUAAAGUAAAAGAGAGCCAAGAACGGAAUUUUACUUUAUCUAUGCCGAUAACCGUUUGCGAACGAAACAAAUACCAAUUGGAAUGCAAAAAAUAAUGAAGUGAAAUAAGCACAUGGAAGUGUUAUUUAUAAUGAAGUGAAAUUAUCCACUAUGGUUUAUUUGACAUAUGGAUAAUUUCGUCUAAGAAAGAGAAAUAAGUAGCGUCAAGCACAGUAAAUUACCAUCUGUUUGUAUCUCAAAAGUUCACAAGUGUCCAGUUGCCUCUUUGCUGGACCCAACUCUAUCCGUCUCACUCUACUUGCAAAGUUCAGUGAGCAAAAUGUCUCACUCACACCAUUUUCAUUAGGACUUAUUUGAACAAACAUGAGUGUCUUCGAGUCUCCUCCUAAAACAACGAAUGAUAUUCAUUAGUUUAAGUUUCAUCCAAGAAACCAGAGAAUAAAAUAAAAAAUAUGAACUUGGAAUAUUAAACAACUCAGAAUAAGAAUUGUUGAUUCUUCUGUGAUCCAAAUGAAGUACCUAGAGAGUCUUGAAGCAAGUGGGUAAGCUUCGAGUUCCUGCACAUAACACAUAAUUUAGUAAAAGAAAGUAAUAGCUGAAUACAUCAGGUGGCAACUUGGCCAAUAUAAACAAAGAACUAUUCAUUAAACAUAAAGGUAUGUGUGAGCUUUUAGUUGCAAGUGCAGAUAUGACAUCACCAAGGGAAGACAGAGACCUAUUUAUGUUUUGAGUUUCCUUGAGUCGUUCUCCUUGCAUUACUGCCAGUUUGCAGAACUUCCCAGACUUCACUCAUGUUGUUUACAUGUGCCUCAACCAGACCUGGAACAUGAUGUAUCCCCUCACCGAGUUGUCUUAUUUCUAGCCUACAAAUUAUCGCAAUACUGUGAAAUGCUAUUAUCUUGAAAUGAUCCCAUAACGUCCCAUCCUUCGCACUUGUGAAGACAUGGAACAUCAUGAGAACUGAACAGAAAGUCUCAUGUUUUAACAAUCAUGCAGCAUCCCACUCAUGGCAUAAUUGUUUGUGGGAUGACACAACUGGAGUCUAUUUCUACAGAACCCAUGAAACUAAACAAUCCAAAAUUAACAGAUUACACUGACAACAUUCCAACAAAAGAAAGAAGACCAAAAAUAUUAUGUAUUCUAAAGUAAUUUAGGGAGCUGAAAUAGCAAAAACCCACCUAAUUCUAAACCUAAGUAAAACCUUCAAUUAAACCCCAACUACAAACCUGAAUUAAACCUUCAAUUAAACUCCAAAUUAAACUAUUAAUAAAACCCAAAUUAAAUCAUCAAUCAGGAAAGAUAAAAAUACAAAAGGGGAUUUAAGAGGUGUACCUGGAGUGAGUGAGUGAGUGAGUGGGCGAGUGAUGCGGCGACUGUGAGAGUCUGAGAAUAACACAGAGAUGGGAUGUUUAGCACCAAACAAAAAAACUAUAAAAAAUUGUGUUCCUUCCAUACAGUACUACGCUUCUAGCAACAAAUAUAGAAUAAAGUACAAAUCUGAAAGAGUGCCGAAAUUACUGCAUACGGAAAGUCCACCAUUGUUGAACAUCUCCCUGCAAAGGUAUGUAUGAUAUAUAUGAUGCAUGCGUAUCAAAUAGCAUCAGCAUGUUUCUAAUUAGUAUGAUAGUCAGAUAGUCAGAUUGUUAGUUUAGGAGAAGAUUAUUGCCCAAUCAACAGGUAGAAUCAAAGUAUGAAUAUAUUCAGUUAAUAUUACAGUACAGAUUUUGCAUCCCAAGAUAUGUGGUUCUUAUAGAUUCAUGAAAUAAAUGUUGAGAGUAUCGCGUUUAAGAAUGGGAAAAGGCAUAUCUAAACUAAUUAAGGGUUACAUAUAUAUGGAUUUCAGACUCUUAAGAAGGUGAAAAGGCAGAAAACAAAAGAAUAAUGACUUCAAUUAAGAAUUUAGUAGUGUACAAACUAUCACAAACGAAAGGAGCAACAUUUGAUUUCAAAAAGAUUUCAGGGAUAAUAAAACCCAUUGAGGGAACACAUAUACAGGUUAAAAGGGCAUAAGCGAUGGCACAACAUGAGUCCGUAACAUCAUUCAGAAGUCAAUCAUAUGACAAACUACAAACCUAAUUAAAUCCAAAAACAUGAAAAUGAAAAUCGCAAACACAGCAAAUCCAUUAGUUAAUUGUCCAGUCCCCCAAUUUAACUAUUGUUACAUGCAUGCGAUCAAAUUAGACCUGGGAAGUGGGAAACAUGCAUAAUCAUUAAGCACUGAGUUGAUUGCAGGGCAAGCAAGCAUCAAAUUAGAAUCACUAUAUAACAUCGUUAAUUUAAACCAAUUUUAAAUGACUAAAACCUUUCCUCCAUACAUCUUAAUAAAUUAAGUUUUUUUUUAUAUUUCUGGUGUAUUUUGAUUUUCCCUCUCUUUGUAUGAUUUGAGCUCUAGUAGAACAUGCUUUGUUAUACAUUAGAUAAGUCUGCUAAAAAAGAGGAGGCUAGAGCCUAGAAACACUUAUAAAGAAGAUAUUUCAUAACGUUUCCAUGUUGAGCUAUGACCAAGGCAGAGUUAGACUCAUAUCAGGAUCACUACAGGUUCUGGGAAAGGAUUGCCAAAAGAAUGCACGCAUAACUUCUCCUACAAUUACCUAAGCAUCCUAUUAAUAUACUUAACAUGGUACACAGACUUUACAAUCAAGAAAACGAAGAAUGCAACAGUUGUAAGGUCUUGUUUCUUAUCAAAAUAGAUCCCUCUUAAGAAAUGGACUUAUAUGCACUAAAUUUGAAUACUAAUCAGGAGAUACAUAUGAAUAGAGUUACAAAGGUCCUAAAUCCUUAUCCCAUGACCCCAUUUUCUUUCCCAAAAUUUCCAGCCAACCAAACAGACGCCAACCUAACCCUAAUCAGCAAAUUUCUCAAUCAAACACCACUCAAUCACCCAUCAAAAACCAAGGAAAUUCAAGAAAAACGAAGAAUGCAAUAGUUGUAAGGUCUUGUUUCUUAUCAAAAUAGAUCCCUCUUAAGAAAGGGAAUGAGACAAUUCUGAGAGGCAACUGCUGGGUAAGAGUACAAAAUUGCAUGCCUUCCAUUUUAAAGUUCAAAAUUUUCAUUUCUAUUCUGAAGAUCAAUAUUAUGUAUCUUCUCAUUUUUUCAUGCAUUUAGAUACCUUUUGAGAGAAAGUCCCAUGCUAUUUUAUUUCCAUUUUGUGGUGUUCUAAUCUUUCAAAAGUACUCCACACAUGCAACGCUUCUUCAAAAGUGGAAAAAGCAGGGAAACCACGCACGCAGUCUGAUUUUAAAGUAAGUUUGAAAGUCAUUAUACCUCCUGUUAGUUUAUCCUAUCCUCACUUGGGCUCCAUAUGGAAAGAUUUUCUUGACAGUUCCUUCUACAAGCGUUCCCUCCUUAAGGUAUAACAGUUCCUAAAACAUUAUAUGGCAAACCAAUGUCAGUUCUUAUGAAAAAUAAGAUCACAGAAUCUCAGAACAAACAAGGAGAGAACAUUGCAAGCAACAAAAAACAUGAAUAAAUCAAAUGUCGAAGUCCAACCGACCCAAGCUUCUUUCUCACUCAAUACUAAGUCAUUCUUAGCUUCGUCUAUUUGAGUAAUCUGCACAUGCAUCCGGCAACUCACCUACACCAUUAGGAAACAACAUGUGUAAGAAGCAAACUAACAAAUCAAACAUAUGCAACUAAGGGAGGAAAAGGUUAAACAAUGAAAAGUUGUUAGUUGAGGUAAAUCAUACUCCACAAUGAAAAUUAGUAAAGAUUAAAGUACAAAACAAUUGAGGUAAAUCAUAUACUCCAGAACGAAAAAAUUUAAGAAAUACAAACUUAAAAUAUUACCCAUCACGCUAGCCGCUUCUUCUAACCCACCAAUUGCUAAAUGUUAAAUUUCUUGAACUACACAACCUAUGACAAAUACCUGAACAGUAAGGGUGCGUUUGGUACGUGGGACGGGACGGGACGGAACGGAACGAGGCGUUCCGUCCCGCGUUUGGUGCGCUAAAAAUGGGUGGAACGGGUUGUUCCACGGGACAGAUUUUGGGUGUUUUUGCGUUCCACCUCUCCCCCCUGGAACGGGUUUGUUCCACGUCUGUGGAACACAAUGUUUUACCAUUUUAAGACAAAUAUACCCCAUGUCUUUUUCAAAAAUUACACCUUCGUUCCGUCCCGUCCCGUUCCGUUCCGUCCCGUCCCGUCCCGUUCCGUUCCGUCCCGUCCGCGUACCAAACGCACCCUAAGAGAACAAUGGACAUUCAUUGUACUCAAUCUGCAUUUAUCCCAGAACCAAGAAAGUUAUGAAGAAACAGAAAUGAAACUGUACAGCAGGUAUACAGCAGGGAACAAACACUAUGAAACUGGCACUCAAGUACUGUAAGGAAUAUCAGAUUAGCAUUCAUCUAACCAGAUCUUCUAGCUACUAACAAUUAGUUGUUAAAACCCUAACACUAAUCAAGCGAUCCUACACAUAUAUCUAGCUUUCUUCGCAUCCUGCCAGUAAUAAAUUGCAUUCAAGCGCGUAGUAGCAGCUUGCACAAAUAAACAGUUUAAGUAUGAUAAACAGAAAAAGGAAACGGAAACAUGAAAACAAAUGGAAUAAGCAGUGUCAUAAAGAUGCGAUAUCUGACCAUGUAAAUAAGUGUUCUUGAGUGACAUUACCAGUAGAUCAGUGAGUUCACGAUAGAGCUUCUCUAGCUCCAUGUGUUCCUGCAAAAUGGAAAAUAUAACCCAUAAAUAACAUAGUGCUCAAUAUAACCUAGUAAAACUCUUCAUAUGAAGAUAUACAAAAGGAGAGGAAGCAGAUAUCACUUGGCGCAAGGAAUGCUCUGCAUCCCUCUUCAUGGAAGCCAUCUCAACUCUCAUUUUUUGGACUUCGGCCUGAAAUCGAGCAUUUCAAGGAGGUUGUUUGACAAAGCAAAAAAUUCAGAACGCAAAGCUUCAAAUUGAUAAUAACAACACUGUUGGGCAAUAAACAGAGGGCACUUACCUCAAAGAAGAAAGCUUGACCUAUGCAUCCCUCUGACCUUGGCGUGCACGGUCCACUUCUUCCUCCCAUGCCAUAGUCGUACACUAAUCCAAAUUAUACAAUCCUCAACUACGCACUUCCCUUGACUUCUCCAAUCAGAUUAUGGUCAGUCAUUCACUUUCGACAUAUCAAUAGAGCAUGACCAAUCUAGUUCACCCCAAUAGUUCCUCUUCCUGUAUAGGAUAAUGCAUGAUAAUAAUAUGGCAACAUGAAAUUGCCCUCAAUUUUUUCUAAAUUUACUACCUUCUUCAACCAAAUAAAACCUAUUGUCUCCUCAAAUAUCAUAAGAUUAACAAUUAAAUGUUCAAACUUCAACUUCCCCUAUAUUCCCUUCCUCUUUACGCAGUAACCCAAUUGAAAAUUUGAAACCUCCCAUCCGAAAUACAAAACCAAAAAAAAAAAUCAGAAAGGAAACAAUACGUGCACAUAGCAAAUUUGAUUAAAAUACAGAAACGAAUCACAAAUUCCCACUUAAAACAAAAUUAGAAGAGAUGGCAAUCUAUAAAAAUCAAUAAACAAAAAAUUGAGCAAAAGGGUAGUGAAAACUCACCUCCAUCUUCGAGAUUUUCCUGCCUAAACUGCUAGGGAACGUGGUCCGAAGCUUUAGCAUAAGCAGACUUGAAGUGUCUCUGAGCUUUCAAUCUUCCGGAAGAGAGAGGUGGUGCAGCGACGACCUUGGUGCCGUGAAGGAAGGUAGGCGCGGUGGCGGAAAUAGAGAGGAGUUCGGCGGAGGAGGGGAUCACAGCCGUCGGAAUUGUGGUGGCGUCGACUGUGAUUAUGGUUUUGACUUCGGGCAACUGUCGGAAGAAGAGGGAGGGAGUCGAACCCUAGAUCGGUGGCGGUUCGGCUGGUGUAGCGAGACCCCCGGUUGUAGAAAAGCUCCGAAGCGCUCGUCAUACACACCAAACGCCUUGUUUUUUCACCUUGUCCUCCUCGAAACGUGUCUAUUUGUGUCGGAUUUUUUGACGAAUUUACAGUGAUGGAUGGUUACAGAAAGAGUCGGAGAGGAAAAGAGGGAAAGAAAAGGGGAUGGAAACGGAGUCGAAGCAAUGCAAGACGAUUGACACGUUGGCGCCCUUCCAUUGUGCAAAACGGUGGCACUUUUGUAAAUAAAUUGAAAUUAUCAAUCUGAACGGCAGGCCGAGGCGAUGGUAAUUUUGUAAAUAACUCAAAAUCCAUCUCAAAUGAAUAGUGCCAAUUGAAGGAAUUGGAUUUCCUCCUGAACAAAUGAUGGGAUCUCUCAUGAUCACACAACACGGAUCGUUGAAUAUAAUUAUUAUAAUUUUUAGAACAAUCUCCUAUUUGUAGCCGUUAGAUCAAAAUCUAACGAUCUGUGUUGUGUGGUCAUGAAGAUCCCCACCAAUUGUUCAGGAGGAGAUCCAAUUCCCCAAUUGAAAACGUUACUUUAUACUAAAGUAAUAUUAUAACAAUAAUAAUAUUUUUUCUUCCAACGAUUAGGACCUUAAACCGAAAUUAGGUUCUCGAAAAACAGCUCCACUCCAGUUGGCUUGAAUAUGACCCAAAAAGAUAUACCCCAUUGUGAAGAGUGAGGAGAAAAAAAAUUUCUAGUUUGAACACAUUAAGUCCUGCUCGCCCGCACAAAUAAGUUCUUCGAAAUUCUCUCGUUUCUCUCCAGCAACAAAACCCAAAAUUGGCUAGCACACUCACAUUUCCUUCGCAACACUAUCUCAGUCGUAGCUUUAGAACUGUAGAACAAUGGAGACACGGGACUUUCACUGUUAUCCUCAGCUUUAGAACAUUAUACACCAUCAUGGAGACAAACGGGCGCGUAUUCUUGUCCUUAUAGUCAUAUCAUAGGUUUUGACCCUCCAUGAGAAACCAAUGAAGCAGCUAACCAAGAAAAAACUAAACCAAUAAAGAGAGAUGGAUUGUUACAUAAAACGAGAAGCUGCCGCAUGGUUAUAAACUCCAUCUUCUACAUCUGAUCUAACCAGAUACAAAUGUAAAUGCUUCGACAAAGACAACCAAGAAGCAGUGGCGGAUCCAGACUUUUAUCAUUGGGUGGUCCCAGUAUUGGAGUUGAACGGGAAGAGUUCGGAUCUCUCCCAUCAAAAGCCACGAUCAAGUGAUCCGGACCGUUGAAAUUUGAUCCAACGGUUACAAACAGGGGGCUCUUCUAAAAGUUAUAAUAAUUGUAGCCGUUUGAUUAAAUUUCAACGGUCCGGAUCAUUUGUUCUUGGGCCUUUGAUGGGAGAGAUCCGGACCCGAUCUCUUCCCGAGUUGUACUAUUUGAAAUAACAUUGUUUAAACUAAUCGAGUAUGAUUUUCAUGUAUUAUGUCGUACCAUGUUCUUAAUUUCUACACAUUCAAUUAUUAAAACAAAAAUUCAUAUAAAUUAAUGGAGAUAAAAACAUAUGUAUAUUUGUUGAAAAACAAAACAUAUAUAUAGAAAUUAACCAUCACAUGAUCAAAUCAAUAUAAAAAAAUCAUAUAUUACAAUCCAAGCACUAACUAGUAUAUAUUAGGAAUCUAACAAUUUUAUCCGAUACACAUCAAUUUAAUAGCAUUCUAUUUUGGACUAAAAUUAGAAAACUUAUUUAAAUUUAGACAUUAGGACAGUAUUAAAAUAACAAAAAUAAAAUUAAGAAAUGAAGCGGUGUUUGAGAGGAGAGAGGUGGACAGGUGAUGGCUUGGUCAUAUGCGGUUAGAACGAAAAAGGAAACUGGGGAGAGAGGAAAAAGGGAUUGGGCAUUGGGAUUACCGAUUAGGGUCUCUUAUAUAAAAUAUUAAAAUGGGAAUUGGGCUCACACAUUCAUUUUAAUUGUAUUGGACUCAAACGGUGCGUUUUGGCCGAUUCAGUUUAACAAGAAAACAACCUUCUUCUUUCUUUUUCAUCUGCAGUCUGCAGAGAGUCACCGCUGCAUAUCUCCCCUCCGCAAAACUCCAGGCCGUUGGGUGGUCCUGAGACCACCCUAGUCCCUGAAUGGAUCCGCCUCUGCCGUUGGGUGGUCCUGGGACCACCCUAGUCCCUGAAUGGAUCCGCCUCUGCCAAGAAGUGAGCUCCCCCAAUUUCCAAAUCAUUCAAAUCUUUCCUGAAACCAUCUCAGCUCAAUGGAAUGGAAGUUCUUACAAAUCUAGAAAUGGGACUCUUAUCCGUGAAAAUUCUAUUUUUGAAGGGCUUAGACUCGAUCUCCUCACAACAGAAUUUGCAUCCCAUCUGUGUUUAUGUAACCCAUACUGGUUUUCAAUAUAAACAUUCAUAAAGGAUCCCUUUCUUAAGGAAAUAGCGGUUGACGCUUAGCUAGAAGAUAUACUUAUUUUCCACCUUCAUCUAGUUAAGUUGAAUUAUCACUUAUUAAGUUAUUGUGCCAAUUUUUUUCAACUCCUGAAUUCAGGACUCGGUUUGAUUGCAGUAUUGGGUGUAUUUUUAUUCAUGCGUUAAACAUCUACAUUUUGUGUUCGUAGUAGAUUCUCUUCUAACUAGGGAUUAUCAAUUUUUCGUCAUUGAAACUUAGUUUAAGAUUUUUUUUUCUUAUGAUUUCAUCACUUUUACUUCAGCAUGCUAGUCGUCACAACUUCUGGAAUUGGGUUUAUUCAUGGAAGUGGCCAUGCCAUUGAUUUUGCUGGACUUUGUUGCACAUGUGCUGGUACCAUGAUGGUUGCAGCAUCUGCUAAUUCCUUAAAUCAGGUUUGUGUGCCCCUUGUUAUUCGGCUCUUUUUGGGCCUGGCUUAUUGUGUAGAUGAAAAUAUUUUUUGAAUGGCACGGUCUUUUGUAAUGGUGAAAGGUAUAGAAAAGCGAAGCAAGAGGCGAAGAAAGCUGUCAGAGAAGCUAAGUUAGCGGCUUACGACGAUAUGUAUAAACGACUAGAUACCAAAGAAGGAGAGUUAGAUAUCUAUAAACUAUCUAGAGCAAGGGAAAAGAAGACAAGGGACCUAAACCAAGUGAGGUGCAUCAAGGAUGAGGAUGGAAAGGUUCUUGCUACAGAGAACGCGGUUAAAGACAGAUGGAGAGGUUAUUUUCAUAAUCUUUUCAAUGAAGGACAUGAAAUGAGUGCUUCUUUAGGGGAGUUGAGUAACUCAGAAGAGUGUAGAAACUACUCUUUUUAUCGUCGAAUCCGGAAGGAAGAAGUGGUUGUAGCUUUGAAGAAGAUGAAGCAUAGAAAAGCAAUAGGCCCAGACGAUAUACCAAUCGAAGUGUGGAAACUUUUGGGAGAGACAGGUAUAACAUGGCUCACUGACCUUUUCAAUAGGAUUUUGAAAACGAAGAAGAUGCCAAAUGAGUGGCGAAUGAGCACUUUGGUGCCUAUCUACAAGAAUAAGGGCGACGUACAAAAUUGCAUGAACUAUAGGGGUAUUAAGCUAAUGAGUCAUACAAUGAAGCUCUGGGAGAGAGUCAUUGAGCAUAGAUUGAGGCAAGAGACACGGGUUUCGGACAACCAAUUCGGGUUCAUGCUAGGGCGCUCAACCAUGGAGGCAAUCUAUCUCUUACGAAGAUUGAUGGAAAGAUAUAGAGAUGGGAAAAAGGAUUUACACAUGGUCUUUAUAGAUUUGGAAAAAGCGUAUGAUAUAGGGUCCCAAGAGACAUUCUUUUGGAGGAUUUUAGAGAAGAAAGGAGUACGAGUAGCAUAUAUCCAAGCUAUAAAGGAUAUGUAUGAAGGAGCAAAGACUGCCGUAAGAAAACUCAUGAAGGACAAACCGAAAGCUUUCCCAUAACUGUAGGAUUACAUCAAGGCUCAUCCUUAAGUCCUUACCUUUUUGCGUUGGUAAUGGAUGAGUUUAACACGACAUAUUCAAGAUGAUAUUCCUUGGUGUAUGCUUUUCGCAGACGAUAUAGUGUUGAUAGAUGAAACUCAGGAAGGGGUAAAUGCAAAGCUUAACCUUUGGAGAGAAGUGUUGGAAUCUAAAGGUCUUCGCCUAAGCCGAUCAAAGACAGAAGAUAUAAUGGAGUGCAAGUUCAGUGCAAAUGGAGGCCAAAACGAGUUAGGGUGAGGAUCGGAGAUCAAGAAAUACCAAAGAGCGACCGUUUUCGUUACCUAGGAUCUAUCUUGCAAAAGAAUGGAGAAUUAGAUGGAGAUCUCAACCAUAGAAUACAAGCUGGAUGGAUGAAGUGGAAGAGUGCAUCCGGCGUGUUGUGUGACCGCCGUAUGCCACUGAAGCUCAAGGGAAAAUUUUAUAGGACGGCAAUAAGGCCGGGCGAUGCUGUAUGGCACAGAAUGUUGGGCGGUGAAACAUCAACACGUACACAAAUGGGUGUAGCGGAGAUGAGGAUGCUUCGUUGAAUGUGUGGGCACACGAGAAAGGAUAAGAUUAGGAAUGAGGAUAUCCGGGGGGUAAAGUAGGAGUAGCCGAAAUUGAAGGAAAGAUGAGAGAAAAUCGGUUACGGUGGUUUGGACAUGUGCAAAGAAGGCCUACUGACGUUCCGAUUAGAAGAUGCGACUAUGGGACAGAGGUUCAGGGCCGAAGGGGUAGAGGAAGACCUAGGGAAACUUUGGAAGAGACUCUAAGAAAAGACUUAGAGUACUUGGAUCUAACGAAGGACAUGACACAGGAUCGAGCACAAUGGCGUUCUAAGAUUCAUAUAGCCGAUCCCACUCAGUGACUUGGAUUUUCCAAGUCUCCAACCGAGAAGUUUUCCUCACUCGGGAAAUUAAGGGAACACUACCCCAACCUACAUGCUCCACUCAGAAAGCUUCAACAUACAAGCUUUAACAAAAGAAAAUUCAAAGAACUUAGCGAAGAAGGCUUUGGUGUAUUUAACACAAUACGUUGAAAUGAAGGAAAGCUUAUUUAUUGAUAUCCCCGAUAAGCUACAAAUAUGUACAUAUACAUGAGUCAAAAUAAGCACACAAGAGGGAGCCUUCACAAAGGUUGCUUAGGAGAAGUCUCAGCAGUCGGUAGAACCCCAGAAAGAGAAGGCACCGGAGGAGGAUCAUUUGGAGCCUCAGUACUGGACAGAACCCUAGAAGGAGGAGGCAUCAGAGGUUGAUCAUUUGGAGCUUCAUUACGCGGUACAGCUCCAGAAGACGAAGGCAAUAAAUGCCUUUGGAACAAACCCACAAAUCUCUGAUGAUCAAGUAAAACCUGACCAUCAGUUUCCUUCAUCUGGUCAAGCUUCCUCUUCAUGUUUGUAGCAUAGUCAUGUGCGAGCCGGUGCAACUGUUUAUUCUCAUGCUUGAGCCCUCUAAUCUCCUGUUUGAGACUCAUCACUUCAGCCGCCAAUGAUUCAACUUGGCGGGUUCGAGCAAAUAGGCGUUGGGCCAUAUUAGCCACAGAACCUGCACACUGAACACUGAGAGCCAGCGAAUCCUUAACAGCUAACUCAUCAGACCGUUUGGAAAGUAGUCUGUUAUCUUUGGGAGUGAGAAGGUUCCUGGCCACCACCGCAGCGGUCAUAUCAUUCUUCAUCACGGAAUCCCCAACGGUAAGAGGACCAGUAGGGGAGACGAAGGAUGGGCGCCAUAUGUUGUCUGGAGAAGGCGGGGCUGCCUCUUCAACAAGGUUCAAGUCAAAACGACGGUCGGAGGGGCCAGACAUUUUCAAAGGUGUUGAAGAGAGAAGAGGUCGGACAAAUCAAGAUCUUAGAAGUGCAAGAAUGAAGCUUCUACUGGUGGAGAUUCAAGUGUGCUUUGGAACUUAAUGCCAGCCCCUAUAAAAAUCUGCACUCGACGAAGCUUCAGAAAUCGAAGAGGCGCCUGCUCAGAAAUCGAAGAGGCGUUUGCUUUCUCAAAAGCUGGGCUGCUAAGAGAUCACGAGGGUUGAUCUCAGAAAUCGAAGAGGCGUUUGCUUUCUCAAAAGUUGGGCUGCUCAAAGACCACGAAGGCCGAUCUCAAAAAAUCGAAGAGGCGCUCGCUUUCUCAAAAGCUGGGCUCCCUAGAGACCACGAAGGCCGAUCUCAGAAAUCGAAGAGGCACCUACUUUUCCAGCCUUUUCCAGCCUUGUCAGCACCUGUCACGCGCACACUCAGUUUUGCGGAAAUUAUGGGCAUUCUGUCAAAGACUUUUGGGGAAGUAGAAAACACAUGAAUCUUACUGUUCAAUCACACCCACUUCCCACACGCAACAAUAGCUCAUGGGUACCACAGAUAACUUUGCCAAAGUUCUCUGCCAAAGUUGAGCACGUGAAGCUUGCAGCUCCCACUACAUCGCUCUGACCAAGAAGGGUAAAAGAAUAGCAAAGAAACAGCACUAACAAAGUUUAGACCCAUAAAUUUUGAAGGUCUAGCUACCAUAUUAUUACCCACAAGGGUAAAGGAACAGUACCACUGCUGGAUAAUUGGAAAGUCCCUGUGUGUCAACCUCUGUGCUUCGUGGCAAGGUAGACUAGCAAACAUGCCCAAACUUUACUCACAUUCGAGAAAACACUUCCAAUAAGAUUGCUUGCUCCAAAAUCGAAGAGGCACCGUCCUCCAAAUCUUGAGAGCCAGACUCCAAACAUGACUACUUUCUUAAAAAUCGAAAAGAGGGUAAAGGAACAGUACCAUUGCUGGAUAAUUGGAAAGUCCCUGUGUGUCAACCUCUGUGCUUCGUGGCAAGGUAGACUAGCAAACAUGCCCAACCUUUACUCACAUUCGAGAAAACACUCCCAACAAGAUUGCUUGCUCCAAAAUCGAAGAGGCACCGCCCUCCGAAUCUCGAGAGCCAGACUCCCAACAUGAUUACUUUCUCAAAAAUCGAAGAGAGACUGCUCCCCGAAUCUCGAGAGCCAGACCCCCAGCAUGAUUGCUUUCUCAAAAAUCGAUGAGGCAUCGUUCUCCGAAUCAAUCGAAGAGGCGCUCGCUUUCUCAAAAGCUGGGCUGCUCAGAGACCACGAGGGCCGAUCUCAGAAAUCGAAGAGGCACCUACUUUUCUAGCCUUGUCAGCACCUGUCACACGCACACUCAGCUUUGCAGAAAUUAUGGGCAUUCUGUCGAAGACUUCUGGGGAAGUAGAAAGCACAUGAAUCUUACUGUUCAAUCACCCACUUCCCACACGCAACAAUAGCUCAUGGGUACCACAAAUAACUUUGCCAAAGUUCUCUGCCAAAGUUGAGCACGUGAAGCUUGCAGCUCCCACUACAUCGCUCUGACCAAGAAAGGUAAAAGAAUAGCAAAGAAACAGCACUAACAAAAGUUUAGACACAUAAAUUUUGAAGGUCUAGCUACCAUAUUAUUACCCACAACUGUAAAAGGAACAGUACCACUGCUGGAUAAUUGGAAAAGUCCAUGUGUGUCAACCUCUGUGCUUCGUGGCAAGGUAGACUAGCAAACAUGCAAACACCCAACCUUUACUCACAUUCGAGAAAACACUCCCCCAAUAAGAUUGCUUGCUCCAAAAUCGAAGAGGCACCGUCCUCCGAAUCUCGAGAGCCAGACUCCCAAACAUGACUACUUUCUCAAAAUCGAAGAGAGGGUAAAGGAACAGUACCAUUGCUGGAUAAUUGGAAAGUCCCUGUGUGUCAACCUUUUGUGCUUCGUGGCAAGGUAGACUAGCAAACAUGCCCAACCUUUACUCACAUUCGAGACAACACUCCCAACAAGAUUGCUUGCUCCAAAAUCGAAGAGGCACCGCCCUCCGAAUUUCGAGAGCCAGACUCCCAACAUGAUUACUUCCUCAAAAAUCGAAGAGACACUGCUCUCCGAAUCUCGAGAGUCAUACCCCCAGCAUGAUUGCUUUCUCAAAAAUCGAAGAAGCAUCGUUCUCCGAAUCUCGAGAGCCAGAUACCACAGACCACUUUUUCAAAGUGCUCUGACAGAGUUAAAACAUGUGAAACUGGCAGCUCCCACUACCGUGCUAUGACCAAGCAGGGUAAAGGAAUAGCAUUACUACUUGUUGUUAGGGAGACUCCUAUAUAUGUCGACCUCCAUCCCCAACGGACAGGUAGACCUGCAAAAAUGCUCAACCCUUCAUCAGAUUUGAGAGGGCACUCCCAACGAAGCCUUUCGAAAUAUUCAGCUUUCUUUCCCCCCGAUAAUACCUCUGCAAACAAGCUAUACUAGAGCAAAAAUAUCUCAUAUAUCAUCAGGGUUAAAAGCAAGAGUAUCCCAUAUCAUGCUUUUUCCCUGUCUUUUUCUUUUGGCCUUGUUUUUACCUGCAAGAACAAGGAAAAAGAGAGCAAUCAGUCAGCACUUGGAAUCAAGCUUCCAGCCAGGAACUGACUGCCUGGAACCCCUUACCUGAUUACUUACCUGGCAUUGCUCUCGAGUACUCAUCUUCAACAUCUUAUGUUUCCAGGGAAGAUUCCGCAUCUGCUUGAGGAACAGAUAGGGUAAGUGCGAAGGAAGGAAGACAAGCAGCAUGUGGAGACAAGCGUAACAGCACACGUGCCGAUACAUUCAUUACUCUGUCAAAAGCAAAAGUAUCUUAUAUCAGCAGGGUGGAACGUACUCUAGAUUUGAUGGACUUGUUUUGACCCUCAAAUUCUUCAUUCGGCCUUAUACUCUGGAGGAAACCAGAAAACCCUCCAGCUCAGUUCAAGAAUAAGCCUGUGGAAAGUUACUUCUUCAAAAGCAAAAGUAUCUCAUAUCAUCUUCUCAUUUUUCUUCUCUUUAUCCUUCAUGCUGCUGGCAAGAAGGGAGGGAGCUCUGAUUGCUGAUUUACCUUGUCUGUCACCUUUCAUUGCAACCUUAGCUCGGCGACUUGAGGACUCCUACUGAGUCCUACUACAUGGUUUGUAUCGCGCGCGCUUGACCAAGCCUGAAACUACAAGUAAGCUUCAAGUGAAAUUGAUACAUUACCUUGUGCAUCUCCACCAGUUAAAGAUACCACCUGGAUGGAGGAAGAGUACUUCCAGAGAAGAUGCCACAUCUACCUAUGAGACAGAUAAGCAAGUUAAGACGACACCACACCGAAUACUUCAGAAAUUUCGUGAUUACGAGAUCAUUCUCCCAUAAUAUUUCCUAAUGUCAUUUGUACUAAAUCAUUCACUGUAUUUCACUUUAAAUACAAUGAGAGCUUGAACCUAUGUACUUGUGUAAACCCUUCACAAUUAAUGAGAACUUCUUCCUUCGUAAUUAUGACCAAUCUUUCUGAACUUUUCCGCUUAACAUAUCUUGGGUGAACCCGUAUCCAUCUAUACUUUCCUAAUACUUAUCCCCAGUUAAAUACUUAGCACAAUCUAGCGAGAUUCGAAAAGCAUAAAGCGAUCGUUUUCGCUACCUAGGAUCUAUCUUGCAAGAGAACGGAGAAUUAGAUGGAGAUCUCAACCAUAGAAUACGAGCUGGAUGGAAAGAGUGCAUCCGGCGUGUUGUGUGUGACCGUCGUAGGCCACUGAAGCUCCAAGGGAAAAUUUUAUAGGACGACAAUAAGGCUAGCGAUGUUGUAUGGCACAGAAUGUUGGGUGGUGAAGCAUCAAACGUACACAAAUGGAUGUACAGCAAAAUGGAUGUGAGGAGCUUCGAUGCGGGGUGGAUGUGUGGGCACACGAGAAAGGAUAAGAUUGGGAAUGAGGAUAUCCGAGGUAAAGUAGGAGUAGCCGAAAUUGUAGGAAAAGAUGAGAGAAAAUCGGCUCUGGUGAUUUUGGACAUGUGCAAAAAAAGGCCGACUGACGCUCGGUUCGAAGGUACCUGGUACGGGACAGAGGUUCAGGGCCGAAGGGGUAGAGGAAGACCUAGGACAACUUUGGAAGAGACUCUAGAAAAAAGACUUGCACUUAGAGUACAUGGCGCAAUGGGCGUUCUAGGAUUCAUAUAGCCGACCCCACUUAGUGGGAAAAGGCUUUGUUGUUGUUGUUGUUGUUGUAUUGCUUUGGCUGUUGAAAAGUUAUGCUUUCAAUUGACUCAUAGUAGCUUAAAUGUUAGUUGUUGCAAAAUAUUUUGGCAGCCCAAAACUGAUCAGGGUUUUACUUUAAAUAAAAACCAAGUUUGUUUUCCAAUAUCUAUUGAAAAGUACCCAUUGUACUGUACUAAAUAUUUUAUACACAUAACUUGCAUAUUCCCCCAGUAUCUUUUUCUCUCUGGUCUGAAAUUUUUUGUCAAUAUCUAUGGACUUAUCUCGUAGCUUCCACUUGUUUAACAGUAAAAUAGAACAGUAAAAUAGAUGUCUCUCUCGCCAAACACACACAUGUUUGCAUGUGUUUACACCUUGUAAUGGGACCAUUUCAAGUUGAUGAUCUUGAACCACCCCAUGCAGAGAUGGUUUUCUUUGCUUCACCAUCUGAUUGGUAUAGCACUCCUGUAGCAAAGGCCUGCACCACAAGGAGCACAAUUAUUGUUGAUCGGUUUGUCUUUGGUAUGUAUAUGGGAAGAUAUGUGACAAUUACUUACCUCUCUCUGAUAUCCCAUUUUAUCUGCCUCAUGGAUUUUUAGAAAUGAAGCUUCUAACGUAGCCACACACUGCCAAUCAACUUUGGUCUUAGGAUGUUGUUAUGGAU
rnacentral:lncRNA from 1 species